rnacentral:rRNA from 1 species
CACGGAGUUAGCCGGAGCUUAUUCUCCCGGUACUGUCAUUAUCAUCCCGGGUAAAAGAGCUUUACAACCCUAAGGCCUUCAUCACUCACGCGGCAUUGCUGGAUCAGGCUUUCGCCCAUUGUCCAAUAUUCCCCACUGCUGCCUCCCGUAGGGGUCUGGGCCGUGUCUCAGUCCCAGUGUGGCUGAUCAUCCUCUCAGACCAGCUAAGGAUCGUCGCCUUGGUGCGCCUUUACCACACCAACUAGCUAAUCCUACGCGGGCUCAUCCUCAGGCGAUAAAUCUUUGAUCUCGCGAUAUCAUCCGGUAUUAGCAGCAAUUUCUCGCUGUUAUUCCGAACCUGAGGGCAGAUUCCCACGCGUUACGCACCCGUGCGCCACUAAGGCCGAAGCCUUCGUUCGACUUGCAUGUGUUAGGCAUGCCGCCAGCGUUCAUUCUGAGCCAGGAUCAAACUCUCUGAGACGCACGACGACACACGGA